AGAACUUUCCAGGUAUUCUUAAUUUUUGUUGGAAUGAUACAGAGAAAAUUAGUGUGGCCCCUGAACAAGGAUGGCACAAUUUUUUUUGAAGCGUUGGGGUUAGAG